rnacentral:rRNA from 1 species
GAAGCCAGGUCAGUUUCUAUCUUCUUUCAUUAAAAUUUAGGCGGUAGGGUACGAAAGGACAUUCGGCUUUAGAGUAACAAACUGUCAGUGCUGAAUUUAAAAUAA